UACGUAGGCGGAAAAUUAAGUCAGUAGUGAAAUCCUGCAGCUUAACUGUAGAACUGUUAUUGAUACUGGUUUUCUUGAAUAUAGUUGAGGUAGGCGGAAUGUGUAAUGUAGCGGUGAAAUGCUUAGAUAUUACACAGAACACCGAUUGCGAAGGCAGCUUACUAAGCCAUGAUUGACGCUGAGGUACGAAAGCGUGGGGAGCGAACAGGAUUAGAUACCCUGGUAGUCC
rnacentral:rRNA from 1 species